rnacentral:rRNA from 1 species
GACAGAGGGUGCAAACGUUGUUCGGAAUUACUGGGCGUAAAGCGCGUGUAGGCGGCUCGGCAAGUCGGGUGUGAAAGCCCUGGGCUUAACCUAGGAAGUGCACUCGAAACUGCCAAGCUUGAGUUCUGGAGAGGAAGGCGGAAUUCUCGGUGUAGAGGUGAAAUUCGUAGAUAUCGAGAGGAACACCGGUGGCGAAGGCGGCCCUCUGGACAGCAACUGACGCUGAGGAGCGAAAGCAUGGGGAGCGAACAGG